UACAGAGGGGGCAAGCGUUGUUCGGAAUUACUGGGCGUAAAGGGCGCGUAGGCGGCCUGCUAAGUCGAACGUGAAAUCCCUGGGCUCAACCCAGGAACUGCGUCCGAUACUGGUUGGCUUGAAUCCGGGAGAGGGAUGUGGAAUUCCAGGUGUAGCGGUGAAAUGCGUAGAUAUCUGGAGGAACACCGGUGGCGAAGGCGACAUCCUGGACCGGUAUUGACGCUGAGGCGCGAAAGCGUGGGGAGCGAUCGGG
rnacentral:rRNA from 1 species